AACGAACGCUGGCGGCAUGCCUAGCACAUGCCAGUCGAACGAUGCCUUCGGGCAUAGUGGCGCACGGGUGCGUAACGCGUGGGAAUCUGCCUUUCGGUUCGGAAUAACUCAGGGAAACUUGAGCUAAUACCGGAUAACGUCGCAAGACCAAAGAUUUAUCACCGAAAGAUGAGCCCGCGUAGGAUUAGCUAGUUGGUGAGGUAAAGGCUCACCAAGGCGACGAUCCUUAGCUGGUCUGAGAGGAUGAUCAGCCACACUGGGACUGAGACACGGCCCAGACUCCUACGGGAGGCAGCAGUGGGGAAUAUUGGACAAUGGGCGAAAGCCUGAUCCAGCAAUGCCGCGUGAGUGAUGAAGGCCUUAGGGUUGUAAAGCUCUUUUACCCGGGAAGAUAAUGACGGUACCGGGAGAAUAAGCCCCGGCUAACUCCGUG
rnacentral:rRNA from 1 species